rnacentral:rRNA from 1 species
UACGGAGGAUCCAAGCGUUAUCCGGAAUUACUGGGCGUAAAGAGUUGCGUAGGUGGCAUGGUAAGUUGGUGGUGAAAGCGUUCGGCUCAACCGAAUAUACAUCACCAAAACUGCCAAGCUAGAGAGUGAGAGAGGUAGCUGGAAUUCCUAGUGUAGGGGUAAUAUCCGUUGAUAUUAGGAGGAACACCGAUGGCGUAAGCAGGCUACUGGCUCAUUUCUGACACUCAGGCACGAAAGCGUGGGGAGCAAACGGG